AUAAACUCCUAGCCUUAACGUCUAAGUCGAGUAUUGACAAGAUAUGAUGUUCUGGCCGUGACAAUAAGUCACCAGGGUGCAAGGUAGAAAUGUCUGCAUCUCCCGAUUUGGAAAGGUGUUAUUAU
rnacentral:ncRNA from 1 species